GCACAUUUGCUAGCUUGUUCAUAAUUGAUUAUUAUUCGAUUAUUGAAUUCAAAUCCUUUUUUGGAGUCGCAGGAAUUAGGCGUUCUUCUUUAAAUAGUGUUUAAUGUAACUCAUUUCGGCUUUCUUAUUGGCUACACCUUGACCUGAUUUGUUAGAUAUGUUGUUGAGGAUAAGCUUUAUUGAGUUAUUCUUUAAACGGCGGUAUAUAAGCUGUUAGUAUACAAGAAAGUAAGAUUUAGCGGGGAUUAUCGAUUAUGAAACAAGUUCCUCUGAUUAGAGCUAAUGCCGCCAAAUUGCAUUGGUUUUUCUUGGGGGUACUACCUAGGUGAGAGAGU
rnacentral:rRNA from 1 species